rnacentral:rRNA from 1 species
GACGUAGGGCGCGAGCGUUGUCCGGAUUUAUUGGGCGUAAAGAGCUCGUAGGCGGCUUGUCGCGUCGACUGUGAAAACCCGCGGCUCAACUGCGGGCCUGCAGCCGAUACGGGCAGGCUAGAGUUCGGUAGGGGAGACUGGAAUUCCUGGUGUAGCGGUGAAAUGCGCAGAUAUCAGGAGGAACACCAAUAGCGAAGGCAGCUCGCUGGGACGGUACUGACGCUAAGGCGCGAAAGCGUGGGGAGCAAACAGG